AGAGUUUGAUCAUGGCUCAGAUUGAACGCUGGCGGCAGGCCUAACACAUGCAAGUCGAACGGUAACAGGAAGAAGCUUGCUUCUUUGCUGACGAGUGGCGGACGGGUGAGUAAUGUCUGGGAAACUGCCUGAUGGAGGGGGAUAACUACUGGAAACGGUAGCUAAUACCGCAUAACGUCGCAAGACCAAAGAGGGGGACCUUCGGGCCUCUUGCCAUCGGAUGUGCCCAGAUGGGAUUAGCUAGUAGGUGGGGUAACGGCUCACCUAGGCGACGAUCCCUAGCUGGUCUGAGAGGAUGACCAGCCACACUGGAACUGAGACACGGUCCAGACUCCUACGGGAGGCAGCAGUGGGGAAUAUUGCACAAUGGGCGCAAGCCUGAUGCAGCCAUGCCGCGUGUAUGAAGAAGGCCUUCGGGUUGUAAAGUACUUUCAGCGGGGAGGAAGGGAGUAAAGUUAAUACCUUUGCUCAUUGACGUUACCCGCAGAAGAAGCACCGGCUAACUCCGUGCCAGCAGCCGCGGUAAUACGGAGGGUGCAAGCGUUAAUCGGAAUUACUGGGCGUAAAGCGCACGCAGGCGGUUUGUUAAGUCAGAUGUGAAAUCCCCGGGCUCAACCUGGGAACUGCAUCUGAUACUGGCAAGCUUGAGUCUCGUAGAGGGGGGUAGAAUUCCAGGUGUAGCGGUGAAAUGCGUAGAGAUCUGGAGGAAUACCGGUGGCGAAGGCGGCCCCCUGGACGAAGACUGACGCUCAGGUGCGAAAGCGUGGGGAGCAAACAGGAUUUGAUACCCUGGUAGUCCACGCCGUAAACGAUGUCGACUUGGAGGUUGUGCCCUUGAGGCGUGGCUUCCGGAGCUAACGCGUUAAGUCGACCGCCUGGGGAAUACGGCCGCAAGGUUAAAACUCAAAUGAAUUGACGGGGGCCCGCACAAGCGGUGGAGCAUGUGGUUUAAUUCGAUGCAACGCGAAGAACCUUACCUGGUCUUGACAUCCACGGAAGUUUUCAGAGAUGAGAAUGUGCCUUCGGGAACCGUGAGACAGGUGCUGCAUGGCUGUCGUCAGCUCGUGUUGUGAAAUGUUGGGUUAAGUCCCGCAACGAGCGCAACCCUUAUCCUUUGUUGCCAGCGGUCCGGCCGGGAACUCAAAGGAGACUGCCAGUGAUAAACUGGAGGAAGGUGGGGAUGACGUCAAGUCAUCAUGGCCCUUACGACCAGGGCUACACACGUGCUACAAUGGCGCAUACAAAGAGAAGCGACCUCGCGAGAGCAAGCGGACCUCAUAAAGUGCGUCGUAGUCCGGAUUGGAGUCUGCAACUCGACUCCAUGAAGUCGGAAUCGCUAGUAAUCGUGGAUCAGAAUGCCACGGUGAAUACGUUCCCGGGCCUUGUACACACCGCCCGUCACACCAUGGGAGUGGGUUGCAAAAGAAGUAGGUAGCUUAACCUUCGGGAGGGCGCUUACCACUUUGUGAUUCAUGACUGGGGUGAAGUCGUAACAAGGUA
rnacentral:rRNA from 1 species